CGCGAAAAACCUUACCUACCCUUGACAUGCCAGGAACCCUGCUGAGAGGUGGGGGUGCCCGAAAGGGAACCUGGACACAGGUGCUGCAUGGCUGUCGUCAGCUCGUGUCGUGAGAUGUUGGGUUAAGCCCCGCAACGAGCGCAACCCUUGUCAUUAGUUGCCAUCAUUCAGUUGGGCACUCUAAUGAGACUGCCGGUGACAAACCGGAGGAAGGUGGGGAUGACGUCAAGUCCUCAUGGCCCUUAUGGGUAGGGCUUCACACGUCAUACAAUGGUCGGUACAGAGGGUUGCCAAGCCGCGAGGUGGAGCCAAUCCCAGAAAGCCGAUCGUAGUCCGGAUCGCAGUCUGCAACUCGACUGCGUGAAGUCGGAAUCGCUAGUAAUCGUGGAUCAGCAUGCCACGGUGAAUACGUUCCCGGGUCUUGUACACACCGCCCGUCACACCAUGGGAGUGGGUUUCACCAGAAGUAGGUAGCCUAACCGCGAGGGGGGCGCUUACCACGGUGGGAUUCAUGACUGGGGUGAAGUCGUAACAAGGUAGCCGUAGGGGAACC
rnacentral:rRNA from 1 species